rnacentral:sRNA from 1 species
UCGCAGGUUCGAAUCCUGCACGACCCACCAAUUUCAGCAUUUAACUCAGAUGCUGAACGUGAAGGAUAACGUUGCGUCAGCAACGGCCCGAGGGGCGAGGCAAAGCCGAGUCAUCCUGCACGACCUACCA